rnacentral:rRNA from 1 species
UUUCCGGUUGAUCCUGCCAGAGGUCACUGCUAUCGGUGUUCGACUAAGCCAUGCGAGUCAAAUGUUCUUCGUGAACAUGGCGUACUGCUCAGUAACACGUGGAUAACCUGCCCUUAGGUCCGGCAUAACCCCGGGAAACUGGGGAUAAUUCCGGAUAGAUCAUCGAUGCUGGAAUGCGCUUUGAUCCAAAGCUAUUGUGCCUAAGGAUGGGUCUGCGGUCUAUCAGGUUGUAGUGGGUGUAAUGUACCUACUAGCCUACGACGGAUACGGGUUGUGGGAGCAAGAGCCCGGAGAUGGAUUCUGAGACAUGAAUCCAGGCCCUACGGGGCGCAGCAGGCGCGAAAACUUUACAAUGCGGGGAACCGCGAUAAGGGGACACCGAGUGCCAGCAUCCUAUGUUGGCUGUCCAUAUGUCUAAAUCACAUGUGUUAGCAAGGGCCGGGCAAGACCGGUGCCAGCCGCCGCGGUAACACCGGCGGCCCGAGUGGUGGCCACUAUUAUUGGGUCUAAAGGGUCCGUAGCCGGUUUGGUCAGUCUUCCGGGAAAUCUGACGGCUCAACCGUUAGGCUUUCGGGGGAUACUACCAGGCUUGGGACCGGGAGAGGUAAGAGGUACUACGGGGGUAGGAGUGAAAUCUUGUAAUCCCUGUGGGACCACCAGUGGCGAAGGCGUCUUACCAGAACGGGUCCGACGGUGAGGGACGAAAGCUGGGGGCACGAACCGGAUUAGAUAACCGGGUAGUCCCAGCUGUAAACUAUGCUCGCUAGGUGUCAGGGACGGUGCGACCGUUUCUGGUGCCGCAGGGAAGCCGUGAAGCGAGCCACCUGGGAAGUACGGUCGCAAGGCUGAAACUUAAAGGAAUUGGCGGGGGAGCACUACAACGGGUGGAGCCUGCGGUUUAAUUGGACUCAACGCCGGG